CCUACGGGAGGCAGCAGUGAGGAAUAUUGGUCAAUGGACGAGAGUCUGAACCAGCCAAGUAGCGUGAAGGAUGACUGCCCUAUGGGUUGUAAACUUCUUUUAUAUGGGAAUAAAAUGUUCCACGUGUGGGAUUUUGUAUGUACCAUAUGAAUAAGGAUCGGCUAACUCCGUGCCAGCAGCCGCGGUAAUACGGAGGAUCCGAGCGUUAUCCGGAUUUAUUGGGUUUAAAGGGAGCGUAGGUGGGUUGUUAAGUCAGUUGUGAAAGUUUGGGGCUCAACCGUAAAAUUGCAGUUGAAACUGGCAGUCUUGAGUACAGUAGAGGUAGGCGGAAUACGUGGUGUAGCGGUGAAAUGCUUAGAUAUCACGAAGAACUCCGAUUGCGAAGGCAGUUCACUGGACUGCAACUGACACUGAGGCUCGAGAGUGUGGGUAUCAAACAGGAUUAGAUACCCGAGUAGUC
rnacentral:rRNA from 1 species